GUGAGUUGGAGGAGCUUAUCAGCUCUCAGGUUUGGAGCACCUUGAAGCUUUGAGCCCAUUUAAUUUAUAUUUACUAUGCAAUGACUGGGGCAUGAGUGGUCAGGCCUAGUUGUCAAAGCAGGAAUCCCUCUCUGUGGCAGCAAACUAUUAUUCCUCUAUUUUCAAUUGAGAAAUGGAGACAGAGAUUAAAGCACAAGAGAUCUGUCA